GCCGGCGUAGCUCAGUGGUAGAGCGGCUGAUUCGUAAUCAGCAGGUCAGGGGUUCGACCCCCCUCGCCGGCUCCA
rnacentral:tRNA from 1 species